UACGUAGGGUGCAAGCGUUGUCCGGAAUUAUUGGGCGUAAAGAGCUCGUAGGCGGUCUGUCACGUCGGCUGUGAAAACCCGAGGCUCAACCUCGGGCCUGCAGUCGAUACGGGCAGACUAGAGUUCGGUAGGGGGAGACUGGAAUUCCUGGUGUAGCGGUGAAAUGCGCAGAUAUCAGGAGGAACACCGGUGGCGAAGGCGGGUCUCUGGGCCGAAACUGGACGCUGAGGAGCAAAAGCGUGGGGAGCGAACGAGG
rnacentral:rRNA from 1 species